AAGUAGGGUUCCAUCUUCUUCCUCUCCCUCUCCCCCUCCCUCGAAUCUCUCGCGCAGCCGUCGCUCCUCUGCCUUCCCUCUCUCCCCGCUUGACCCGCCGCCCCUCGCGCGCCGCCAUCCGCGCAUUCUCCCCUGGAUGCGGCGAACACGAGGAACAAGGAUGGCGACUGGGCGCUGCGGGCACACAGAGCACGCCCCAGAGCUCCACAGCCUCUGGCUCGGCUUCUCGACCAGCGGCCGCCUCUGCGCGUGGGACAACUUGUGUGCCCUCAUUAUUACCACUGAAGCCUGCUCAAAGGCGAAGGCCGCUCAUCUCCAUCACUGGGAGGAGCGCCAGCCGCCGAGACAGCCAUCCACUUCGCCAUUGCCGACGUCCUCGCCCCGGCAGAUCGAGAGAGAUGCGGAAAAGAGGCGGGAGGAAGAGGAAAAGACGUGCCAGCUCCAUCCCCUCCACUGCGUUGUGCGCCUGGCUCUCACCUGCAACCAUUCUACCUCCACCCCCUGCCAAAUUCUCCAUCCCUUUCUUACAAAUUCCUGUAAGUUCUUAUUGUUCGGCUACCUGUACAUGGAUGUUUAUCCCAAAAAAUAGAGAAAGAAUCAAGUGUUCCAAAUGCUCAAUGUGUUUAGGAUCCAUCGCGAAACAGUACAGAUAUAAGCCAUCUAAAAACAGACUGGUCAUUUUGUUUUCAUUUGCUUUUGGUUUGGUACUGAUCAAUAAACUGCUUAAUAUGUUUUAGGAUCCAUUGCUUUUAGUUUGGUACUGAUCAGUAAUGAAAGCAAUGGAGCAAAGCAAUACUGAUCCAACUGGUGUGGGGAGUUGACGGCCAACUAACCAAAAGCAAUGAAACAAAAUGAAACAAGAGAGAUGGUUCAGAGUCACACGCCUAUAAUCAACCGGUCCAGGUAGACGAGAUAAGGUAAAUGUGAUUGCAUUAGCAAACUCCAUUUUCGUGUAACAACAAAAACAGAGGAAACUCCAUUUUAUUGUAAUUACAAACAAAGAACUUCUAGACGGCGAAGCUGCUACCCUGCUCCUCUCCCUGCAAACCUCCUGAUAAAUGAAAUAUGCUAUUUGAUUAUAUAUAGUCUGUCCUAAAGGUGCUGCCCUAUCUGUUUAGUGGAGGUAAAUAUGUUCAGGUUGCACAAGCAUACCUGUGAGGGAGGUGGUCUGCUUAAGUGUUUUUACAGAUGCAAGAUACUAAAUACUUCCCUAUCAGUGUUUUUCUUCUCUUUAGAAGAUUUGGAGGCCCUCAAAUAGUGGUUGAUGAUAGCUUGGUUUUGUUGUUCUCCAAUUAAGGAACCAUCCCCGCAUGCUUCUGUAAACUGGAUGGUUGCAUUCCGUUGGGAGGAGAGGGUUGCCACCAUCGUUAUCAUGGCGGGCGGGCGUGUGCGUGUGCGUGUGCGUGUGCGUGUGUGUGUGUGUGUGUGUGUGUGUGUGUGUGAGAGAGAGAGAGAGAGAGAGAGAGAGAGAGAGAGAGGAAGGAACCAUACAGUGAAUAAUAUGUCAGGGGCUUAGUACAAGCCCAUAGAGUUGUCUGUUUUCCUGUGAAGAGCCCCCUCUAUGCAAACACCCAUGACAGAUCCUUUUUUGUUCUAUUCUCAUGGCCUUAGCUUGGACACAAAUUUGUAAAUUACUUCCUUGCAAGAAUGACCCGAGUUUGGUUUCUAAUCCCCUGGAUCUAUUCGGAUUGCCUAUUUCUUAGUUGCAUACAAAUAUGCACCUUGAUUGCUAUGGAUAACCCAGUAGGUAAUUCCCUCUCUUCUUGUUGAUGCUUUGUCUUGCUUGGACGAUAGAAGGUUCUGUACAGGACUAAUUUAGCCAGACAGCUAUAAAUUGACCGAAAACACAUAUAAGCUUUCUAUACAUUAAUAACUAGGGGGUUGGUGCACUCACUCAAUUCUAAAAUUGUUCAUAUCGAUGUCAUAGGUAUUAGUAUACAAGUGAU
rnacentral:rRNA from 1 species